AACGAACGCUGGCGGCAGGCUUAACACAUGCAAGUCGAGCGCCCCGCAAGGGGAGCGGCAGACGGGUGAGUAACGCGUGGGAAUCUACCCUUCACUACGGAACAACUCCGGGAAACUAGAGCUAAUACCGUAUACGUCCUUCGGGAGAAAGAUUUAUCGGUGAUGGAUGAGCCCGCGUUGGAUUAGCUAGUUGGUGGGGUAAUAGCCUACCAAGGCGACGAUACAUAGCUGGUCUGAGAGGAUGAUCAGCCACAUUGGGACUGAGACACGGCCCAAACGCCUACGGGAGGCAGCAGUGGGGAAUAUUGGACAAUGGGCGAAAGCCUGAUCCAGCCAUGCCGCGUGAGUGAUGAAGGCCCUAGGGUUGUAAAGCUCUUUCACCGGUGAAGAUAAUGACGGUAACCGGAGAAGAAGCCCCGGCUAACUUCGUGCCAGCCGCCGCCGUAA
rnacentral:rRNA from 1 species